CACGGGGUCUCAACUUAGUAAAUGAUUCAAGAAACUAAGAGCUUCUUUGAUGGAAGUAUCUUUCAAUUGCAAAUUUCCCUGUAAAAGAGAAGUCUUGCCUUUAUCUCAGCAGACACUGGGGGACGGGUCACUCUGGCAUGAGCACAUGCUACCCCACGUCAUGUUUGCCUGUCUGAUUCCAAAUGCAAUUCACACAGGAUUUGUGUGGCUAGAAAGCAGUCAGCAAGAUGACUCAGAUUAAUUAUCACGGGAAUAAAAAUAUAAAACAAAAAAAUAUGGACAGAGUUCGUGGCUUCUAAGAAGAGUCAGGGGACUGUGUUAUGACUCAGUUUAUUUCUGGCUGCUGAUGGGAGAUGGGCUGGAUGGGUGGAAGGCGGGGCAGAGGCGGAAGAUGAAUUGCGAGGUCACUCACUGUGGUUGUCCAGUGGAAAGGGCUGAGGCCCCACUGGGAGUGGGGGUGGCGGCAGGUAGCAGAAGAGGUGGAUGGGAGAGACACUUGUGAGUUACAAAGUAUAGGACCUGGUGCUUACUUUUAUUUUUUUUUGAGACAGGGUCUUGCUCUGUUACCCAGGCUGGAUUGCAGUGGUGUGAUCAUGGCUCACCGCAGCCUCAUCCUCCUGGGCUCAAGCAAUCCUCUUGCCUCAGUCUCCCGAGUAGCUGGGAGCACAGGUGUACACAACCACAUCCAGCUACAUUUUUUUUAUUUUUAUUUUUUUUAGAGAUGAGGUUUCCCUAUGUUGGCGAGGCUGGCCUCAAACUCCUGGGUUCAAGUAAUCCUCCCACCUCAGCCUCCCAAAGUGCAGGGAUUACAGAUGAGAGCCACUGCACCUGGCCUAGCGCCCAGUUUUAAUUGAGGGAAGAGUGACAGUGGGGAGAGGAAGGAGGGUUUGUGGCUUGGGCUACUGACUAGAUGGUGGUGUCAGGCACGGAACGGGGCGCAGGUUGCAGGGAGGCUGAAUUUGGGGUGUGGCUUGCAUGACUCUGACAGUGCCCAUGUGCUAAUCCCUGGGAUCUGUGAAUAUGUUCCCCUACCUGGCAAAGAAAUUCUGCAGAUGUGUUUAAAUUGAUGUUGAGAUGGGAAGAGGAUCCUGGGUUAUCCAGGUGGCCCAGUGUAGUCACUAGAGUUUUUGUAAGAGGGAGGCAGGAGAAUCAGUCAGAGAGAUGGGAAGAUGCUCAUCUGUGGGCCUGAAGAUGGAGGGAGGGGCCAUGAGUUAAAGAAUGCAGGCAGCCUCUAGAAGAUGCAAAAGGCAAGACACGGAUUCUCUUCUAGGUCUUCCGGGAGGAACCAGCUUGCUGACACCUGAUUUGUAGACCAGGGAGAGACAUUUUGGACCUCUGACCUCCAGAACCAUAAGAUAAACUUGUGCCGCUUAAGGCGGGGAAAAAGGAGUCAGAGAGCAAGAGACGGCUGUUACCUCCAGCUUUCAAGUAAGCCCAAGAUUUGUGCGUACCUUUUCCAGAAACACAAAUUCUACCUGAUUGUAAAAAAAAUGAACAUAGAAUUUGUUUUUUCAAGUUGCUUUAAGAAAUCCAUGUCCAAGGCCGGGCGCGGUGGCUCACGCCUAUGUAAUCCCAGCACUUUGGGAGGCCGAGGCAGGUGGAUCACCUGAGGUCAGGAGUUCCAGAUCAGCCGGGCCAAGAUGGUAAAACCCUGUCUCUACUAAAACUACAAAAAACUAGCCAGGCUUGGUAGUGCACAUCUGUAGUCGCAGCUACUUGGGAGGCUGAGGCAGGAGAAUCCUUUCAACCUGGGAGGUGGAAGUCGCAGUGAGCCGAGAUCAUGCCACUGUACUCCAGCCUGGGCAACAGAGUGAGACUCCAUCUCAAAAAAAAAAAAAAAAAAGAAUACUUUCCCACGCACCCCAAGAAAAUCUCUUCCCCAAAGCCAAGCUGCUCACACUUAGGGACAGUGAGGGGCGAUGUGUCUAUUCUCUAUAGAACUCACCCUGACCUGCGCCUUGAGAGCAGGCAUGCGCCGGGUCGGGGGUGUACAGUGUGUAGGUCAGGCCACGCUGUUUUGGGAUAGCAACCAGCUCAGCGCCACGGCAGCACCCCAAGCUAGUGAUGAACUGGUUAAAGCUUGUUUCUGCUAGGUUUCUGAGGCCAACAGGGCAGGGCUACACUUCUGUCCCAUUCACUCCUAUGGCCUUUGCUCCUAGCAAGGAGUCUGGCACCUGGAAGCGUCAGGUGAAGGUGUGGAGGGGCUUAAAGGCCGGGGUCCACGGCUUACUGGGGACAGUGUCCUGCGGCCUUGGCUAAGAUCCCACCUAUGGGACGGCACACUGGACUUUCCCAAGGUCAUAGCUGGUGAACUGGGACAGAGAAUAGCCACUUGGCUUUGAUUCUGAUACUGUUGGUGGUGCAGGCAAAUUCUAAGAGCGGCAAAAGCUACCCUAGCAGACCACUGUUUGCUAAGGGCAGACACUGCUCAUGAGCAGCUAGCGAGCUGUCAGGAAAUCCAGCCACCCCUCCCAGGUUGGAGCCCUUGACAGGGAUCCUCAAACUGGCUGUACUGGGAAUAUCCAGCAUAUCCAAAAUGAAAGAACCACCAACAGGAAUAGAAAAUUUUUUGUAGUAUGGAAGUUGUAAAGCUGUGUUUUAAUAGGAUUACCUUAGGAAUAAGAGGACUGCUUUUUAAAGAUACGAGAUCCCGCUGCCUUGGCAAUUCUGUUAUCAGAAAGAUAGUGAUUUUGAUACAAAACAGUAAGAAACUGUAGAAUUGCAGGACCCAUAAUCCUCACAAGGAAGAUUUAGAGAGUGCUGUGUGUCAAUCACUCAUCAGCACCUCACAGAUAUUAUCUCAAUUCGUCCUGGCAACCAUCACUGCCCCUACUUAGCAGUCUCAGAGAGGAGACUCAACUCACACAGGGGCCAAGAGCUGGACCACGGCCAACCAGGGGCAGCAGAACGCCACAGUGGUUGAGCAUGGGCUCUGGUGAAGGAUGGCGGGGGUUCAAAUCCCAGUUCUCCACCUCUCUGCUUCGCUCCGAUUCCUGGGCCUCUGAGCUGGUCUCCUCCGCUGUGGAGUAACAGUGUGACUGCUCAUCUGCACAGAUUCCUUCUGUGCUGGACACGGUUCCAACUUUCCAACUACUCCCGCAGGAGCUCAUUUAGUGGAGACAAGAUCUUGCUCAGUGUCAUAGUGAGGAAGAAAUGGAAAUAUCUGUGCAGGGCCCAAGCCCGGCCUGGUGCGGGAGAGGCAUUAAUAAACGCAGCUUGAGUUCAGAAGCAGGUGGUCUGUGGCUCACUCAGCCUGGCUUCCUGCUGGGUCUUCACAGUGCUGGGCUACCUUCCUGGAGAGAACCAAAGUCCAGGCUGUGUAGAUGCCUGUGGUCCACCAGCGCAAAGCAGCGGCCCAUCAGGACGCUUCGGAGGUAGAUGCGUCUGAGUUCCAUGACAUCGGGGACAUGGCCCCACUCCUGUUCUGGAGGUCACGGGCCUGCUGAACCUCUUGUACCAGGUCAGCCACCAGGUUCAUCUGGCAGGACCUGAGAGCCCCCACCAGGUGGGCCACUGUUGCGUUCUCCUUCUCUGUGUUCUUCCAGAUUCUCAGUGACUCCCGCACACGCUCUGUCAGGUUGCGGGGGUAUCUGUCCUCGAUGCUGUCGAUCUUGGUGUCUGAGACUUUGAGCUGACGAGCCAGCCUUCUCCAAUCUUUCCCCACAUUAUCACAUAUGACGUUAAAUGCUGCACACAGGUCUGGGAAGGAAAGAACAGAACGGUUUACCAUAGGUUUGGAGACAAGCGACCCCACAAUCCUCCCUAGGGCUUUUCAGCACAGACGCCAAGUGCUGAGUGGACAGAGGUGCCUACACGAGGUCCUCUGUAGAGGCUAGAGUCGCCUGGCAGCAAAGGGGCUGCACCAAAUGCCCAAGAGUGGCCUGAUUCCACCUCAGCCAAACCCCCUGCUCUCUAAUACUGUCCUAGGAGGCGUGGCCCACUGAAGACUCAAGUGCCAAAGGAAGUUGUAGUGGAGCUACCUACUUAGAGCAGGAGACACUGAGGGAGGGGCUGGGGAGUUGUGGGAGGGAAGAAAAUAGGGUUGAUCCCACAUCCUGCCCUACAGCAGGCUGAACGAUGUCACCCCAAGGUAUGUUCACGUGAAAUUGCUGAAACCAUGAAUGUUCUUUGGAAAAAGCAUCUUUGCAAAGGUAAGCUGAGGGUCUUGAGAGGAGAUCAUCCUGGAUGACCUGGAUGCACCAAUGAUAGGUAUCCUUGCAG
rnacentral:lncRNA from 10 species